GAUGAACGCUGGCGGCGUGCCUAAUACAUGCAAGUCGAGCGAACGGACGAGAAGCUUGCUUCUCUGAUGUUAGCGGCGGACGGGUGAGUAACACGUGGAUAACCUACCUAUAAGACUGGGAUAACUUCGGGAAACCGGAGCUAAUACCGGAUAAUAUUUUGAACCGCAUGGUUCAAAAGUGAAAGACGGUCUUGCUGUCACUUAUAGAUGGAUCCGCGCUGCAUUAGCUAGUUGGUAAGGUAACGGCUUACCAAGGCAACGAUGCAUAGCCGACCUGAGAGGGUGAUCGGCCACACUGGAACUGAGACACGGUCCAGACUCCUACGGGAGGCAGCAGUAGGGAAUCGUCCGCAAUGGGCGAAAGCCUGACGGAGCAACGCCGCGUGAGUGAUGAAGGUCUCCGGAUCGUAAAACUCUGUUAUUAGGGAAGAACAUAUGUGUAAGUAACUGUGCACAUCUUGACGGUACCUAAUCAGAAAGCCACGGCUAACUACG
rnacentral:rRNA from 1 species